UGGCAACUGUGAUGAUUCCUUUUAACUGCAAUGUACGUAGCUGCAGUAUGGAGACAACAGUCCCUCUAACCUGAUGUUGCUU